ensembl:lncRNA
GAGAUUGCUCCUUGUGGAGUUUUUGUAAGCCUACAACACUGAGAUCACCCAGCCUCAGCAUCCAGACUUUGUUGCUCCAACUAGACAAGUCUCAGGUCACACCCCAAGGAGUGGGAGACACCCAAGCCACAGGAUUGACACACAGAAGUGACCUGACUCCCCAUCAGAAUGUUGCAGUUUCACUGCCAUUGAUUGACAAAGGCAGCAUUCUUUAAUCUAGGGGAAAAGAACAUGCAUAUAUGUAUCAGCCCAGGUAUUGCUUGGCUGUACCCAGUCAAAUCUGAGUAAUGCUGUGAGUCUGAGCCCCCAUGGUCAUUGGCUGGGUGCUGGGGCUAGUGCCCUGGAUUUCGUUGCAAAAUCUUCAGAAUUUGAAGACUCAGCUAGUGACUCUUAGUGCUAGUGAAUUAGUCUGAUGCUUGUCACUGGAUGUGGAAUCACUGUAUCCCAGCAAAAGUUGCACUGAUAAAUAAAAGUGGGGCAAAUGAUCACAUCCACCCAACUUUUGCACUUGAAAUCAUCUGAGAAUUAACCUUCUGGCUAAAAAAU